GUGUUUUCUUUGGCUGCACACAUACUAAAAUUGGAAUGAUACAGGGAAGAUGAGCAUGGCCUCUGCACAAGGAUGAAACACAAAUUCCUGAAGCAUUCCAUACUUUU